ACGAACCGUCCAAACGUUAUUCGGAAUCACUGGGCUUAAAGGGUGCGUAGGCGGUCUGUUAAGUUGGGUGUGAAAGCCCUCGGCUCAACCGAGGAAUAGCGCCCAAAACUAGCGGACUUGAGCAAGGCAGAGGUGAACGGAACUAAGGGUGGAGCGGUGAAAUGCGUUGAUAUCCUUAGGAACACCAGUAGCGAAAGCGGUUCACUGGGCCUUUUCUGACGCUGAUGCACGAAAGCCAGGGGAGCGAACGG
rnacentral:rRNA from 1 species